rnacentral:lncRNA from 1 species
AAAUGUGUCAUUGUCAUUGAGAGCACUGACAGUCAUCGACAGAGUGGAGGGACAGCAGGAGGUCGGUUAUGAAGCUGUUUCCUGUCCAUCCAAUACUAUGGUCCUGUUUUCUUUUUUUGUGUGCAUCACGAAGUGAGACGAAGGCCAACAGUCCAGAUGUCUGUCAGGAAGAAGAAGAUUCUGGCAGCAUCACUGUACAUAGUUGUUCGGUGGAGGAGCAUUAUGUAGAGGAGGAAGAGGUGGAUGAGAACUUUCACUGCCGCCUUUACCCAACAAAUAUACUCAACUGCUCCUGGUCAUUCCCCACCUUACACAAGGAUGCUCAGUUCUUUGUCAAUAUCAGUAUCUGUGAUGAUAAGAGAACAGUUCAGGCUCCGAACCUUUCGUCUGAGGAGAGAGUCGGAUCAAUGUCUUUGAUUCUGCACGUGCAUGAGAUGUUACAUUUAAUCCUCCGCUUUAACAUAACCCUGCACGACAGGUGGACAGUCUACACCAUCACAUACAACAUCGACAUGCUAGAGGUCCUGUCUCCGCCCCCAAACAUCUCUGCAUCAGUCAAAGAUGGAGACCUGGUGGUGACAUGGGGUCUGCCCCACAGUCGCGCUGACACCAACCCAGAAUGCUUUGAAUACCAGCUGGCCAUGGCUGACCAGGAACGCCCCAAAAGCUUGACCAACCAGUCUUAUACAGAGCCCAAUGUAGAUCCCACCUGCACCCACAGCGUGAAGAUUAGGACAAGAAAGAAGAACGACUGCCAAGAACAUUCUCAAUGGAGUGACUGGAGUCCCAUCGUCACGGUGCAACAGUCAAUUUACAAACUCAACACUCUGGUGAUCAUCUCCAUUUCACUUGGAAUACCCAUGAUCCUCCUGGCUGUGCUGCUGCUGGUGCGCCAACAGAGGUUGUACGAUGUUCUGUUCCCUCCAAUUCCUCACCCCCCGCCAAAGUACAAAUAUUUUUUGGAAAAGAAUGACACUUUUAAUCUCUUCCACCCCGCCCCGUCAGCUGAGGCUGCGGAGGAAAUCACACAGGUGGAGGACAUGGAGCAAAAGCGAACACCAACCUGACUCGGAAAGGAGAACCACUGCUUUAAUACAUCUUAAGACAUGUAAAAGUAUAACAAUAUGACUGUAAAACACGCUAAGUAUAUUAUAUAAAUGAAGAUUUUGCUUUGCCUGGUCAUCGACUUGACCAUUAUUACGUCAUUAAUUUAAACAUGGACGUGUCGGUUGAUGAGUGUUGAUGAAAUACACUUGCUCUGCCUGAACUAGCUGGUUAGCUGAAGCUGAAAUGUAGAUCUAGUGCUUUUACAAAAUGUUUUUGAGUGUGAAACAAAGUUGAGUGAUACUCAUCUAAAGCCUACGCAGGACAAUAACUCAACAUUUAGACACAAAGAAGUACACAGAGAGGUGUUUUGAGGGGUUAGGAAGAAGAGCAUCAAACCAGCAUUAAAUAAAAAUGUGAACACAACUAUAUUGGAGGUAACUAUAAAAGUCCCAUAUCGUGAAAAUGGGUUUAGAUUGUGUUUGAUACAAAGUCGGGGUUGUAAAAUAAAAGCGGUGAAUAAGUGAAGUCGCUCACCACCGCAUUCCUCUCCCUCACAACUAGACCAUCUCCCAGCAUUACGAGCCAGGGAGAAUUUGAUGGGGUUGCUAAAUCUAAACCGGACAACCAAUAGUCAACUAGCAUAAACAAUUGCAUAACCCCGCCUCUUCCCCAGCCAGGUGCAAAAGUUUGACAUUUUGAGAAGAUUUGAUAGCACUCAUAUGUGUCCGUUAAAGCUAAAGCAAGGCCACCGUAGAGCCUCACAAACUGAAGCAGGUUUCAUAAAGCAGACUGGGAGCUGAUCACCUCAGACUAAACCAGGUCUGGUUUAAGAACGGACUUUCAAACAUAGACGGGAGAUAUCGAUUCACAAUGGAAUAGAUUGACAUGUUAAGACAAAGUCCAAUCUUCGUAAAAUACAUAUUACCAAAACUAAGAAUAAAAUAUUGAACAGAAACUUUUCAAGCAAUUGACAAAGUAAAAGAGAACUUUAACAGCAGCGAAGAGCUCAGACUGAGUUACUGCAGCGCUCUGAUAGUUACCACAUCACCAACAUGUUGACUGGAAUAGUUUGCAGAUACUUUAGACUGGAAAUAUACAAGCUCAGAUUUCAAGUAUACAAUAAGUGAACAAAUGGAAUAAAUCUGACAUGUACUACCAAGUAAUUUCUGUUAAUAGUUGAGGAACUGUUAGGGACCGACUUCGGACAGUCUAGCAGAUUGACUGUAACGCUGGUUAAGCCUAAAGUGAGCCGUCCAAGACAUAUAACACAUUCUUUGAUACGAGAUUGAGUUCAGUAAGAGACCUGAAAGUGAGCUUGAUAUCACAGUUUAAACCUUGUGUUUCAAAUAAAAUAUAAAUGCAUUUUGAGAAAAAAACAAAUUCUGUUCUUUGUAUGUUGUAUGAAUUUGUAUUCUAUUGUUUCUGUAUGUUGCACUUUUGUUUGGCUUAUUUGAAGCUAUUGUUCUGCACUUAAAAUGAUUUCACCUAUUUGAAGUUAAUGUACUUACAAGAUUCUUGCUGUUGGAAGGUGUAUCCUCAUGAGUGUUUGCACUUAUUGUAAGUGGCUUUGAACAAAAGCGUCAGAUAAAGUUAAAAAUAAAUAAAGUCAUAUGGGGAGAGGCCCACUUUAGACUUUAUGAUCUGUCUUUCUUGCAUUGUUACAUUUCCUGUAUCGUUACACUCUGCUACAGUUGCUUCAGAUAAGAUCAAAUAUGUACAGACAAACCACACAGAUCACUGUGUGACUUCCCCAAGCAGACAUAAAGCAUGAAACCCAUCAACACUGUGCCUGUGUGUGUGUGUGUGUGUGUGUGUGUGUGUGUGUGUGUGUGUAGACAAAAAACAUUACGAUUUAGGACCACGACUACAAUAUCUUCCUUUUAUAACACAAGACUCAUAAUACACACAGAUGAACAGAGACUUAUCACUGAGGCCAUUACUGUGGAACACAUGUCUGGCAAAAUGAAAACACAGCAACAGAGAUCGUGUGCGAUAAACAGUAUUGGCAUCUUUUACAAAAAACGAUGUUCCCACACUCACUCGGACACCAAUUCAAAAACAUGUCAAUGACUUUGGAGGCCUCUUGAGUACUUGUAUUUGAAACUGACAAGGUUUAUAGUAGCUUCUUUUUCAUAAUAUAUAAGUAAUAUACACAAUGUGAAGUUUAUUUUACACAAAAACGAAAUAAAAAAAUCUGAAACAAUGUGGCAGCCAGUACACAGCUCCUUGAUGCCACCUGCGGCAGGUUUGUGCCAUCAUGUUUGUCCCCCGGAUUAAUGGCGUCGGUCUGUCAGGCUAAAGGCACGACUUCAAAGGACCGAGCUGCUGCUGCUGCUGCUACACGUUUCCAUGUACAGACACUCUGUGGAGGACACCAUUGAAAAUGUGUUACAGUUGAGGGAGUAUGUCAUGAGCCACGCCGAACAUUUCCCCGCUGAUAGAAACUCUGUUUACGCCAUAUGCUUAUGAAGUGGAAGUAGGAAGCCUCUCCCACUGGGCUGGAUGUUCUGGUUACGAGGUUUUUACACAAAGAGUAUGCUGGGUGGCUCUACAGGUACACUUUAUAGGACAUGGCAACCGUUUGUGUGAAAAGGCUGAAAAUGUGCACUCUUCCAUAAUUGGUUCAGAUGUACAGAUGUAUGUCUAUUUGUUUGUAUAAUUGUAUGUCCAUUUAUGUUUACAUUUUGAAUUAUAUACACACACUUCAUUUUUAUUUUAAACAGGUCGUUUUGUUUUUCUUGGGGUAUAAAAAGGGACAACAUGCAAACUUUUGAAAUUGAAUGUAUUACAAAGUCUUAUGUUGUUAAAAAAAAUGAAAAUAAAAAAAAAUAAAUUACUUAAAUAAAAGUAAAAGUAGCCGGUUAACAUAUUUAUUUUUCAAGUUGGGGUAUAGAAUAUAAGUCAAUAUUUUGGGUCUUUCAAAAUGUUGUAUAUAGAUUAUGUAAAUAUGUCUCAAACAGCAAACAAGUCAAAACGUGUGUAUCUGUGUGUUUGUGCGUGUGUGAGUGCAUUGACCAGACUUUGCUGUAGUGCAACACGUGUAUGUGUGUGUGUGUUUGUGUGUGUGUGUGUCAUACCCUGUCCAAAGCUGAUGUAUUGUAGCUGUGUUUUGUCCAGUGGUUCUGUGAGGGGGGCAAUACUGAUGUCAGAGGCUGCACCCGUUCUGUAGCUCUCUAUCAGUGUUUCCAGAGUCCUAAAUCUCUGCAGUCUGACUCCUGAAUCCUGCUAAUCACGCACGCACACACACACACACACACACACACCACACACACACACACACACACCAUGAAUAACUUCCUGUCUGGUGCAUUGACCAGACUUUGCUGUAGUGCAACACGUGUGUGUGUGUGUGUGUGUGUGUGUGUGUGUGUGUGUGUGUGUGUGUGUGUGUGUGUGUGUGUGUGUGUGUGUGUGUGUGUGUGUGUGUGUGUGUGUGCGAUCUGUAUGCAGAUGUUCACCCACCUGAAGACACCAGCCGUCACUGGAGCAUACAAGCCUGUAGGUGUGCACCAAAGGGGCUUUUCUGCAAAAAACAAAAUUUUAAUUAUUUGCUGUGAAUGUGUAAAACCUGAAACAGCUAAAGUGUAUUCACAUGUUGUAAUGUGACGAUUAAAUGUGAAAGAGAUGCGUGUGGGUCUGAUGCAGAGGAUGACUGAUUUCAGUUUUGUGUUCAACACACUCGAGUAAAG